ACUCCUACGGGAGGCAGCAGUAGGGAAUCUUCCACAAUGGGCGCAAGCCUGAUGGAGCAACACCGCGUGAGUGAAGAAGGGUUUCGGCUCAUAAAGCUCUGUUGUUAAAGAAGAACACGUAUGAGAGUAACUGUUCAUACGUUGACGGUAUUUAACCAGAAAGUCACGGCUAACUACGUGCCAGCAGCCGCGGUAAUACGUAGGUGGCAAGCGUUAUCCGGAUUUAUUGGGCGUAAAGAGAGUGCAGGCGGUUUUCUAAGUCUGAUGUGAAAGCCUUCGGCUUAACCGGAGAAGUGCAUCGGAGACUGGAUAACUUGAGUGCAGAAGAGGGUAGUGGAACUCCAUGUGUAGCGGUGGAAUGCGUAGAUAUAUGGAAGAACACCAGUGGCGAAGGCGGCUACCUGGUCUGCAACUGACGCUGAGACUCGAAAGCAUGGGUAGCGAACAGGAUUAGAUACCCUGGUAGCUCGAUG
rnacentral:rRNA from 1 species